rnacentral:rRNA from 1 species
UACGUAGGCAGCAAGCGUUGUUCGGAGUUACUGGGCGUACAGGGUGUGUAGGCGGUUGUUUAAGGUUGGUGUGAAAUCUCCCGGCUCAACUGGGAGGGUGCGCCGAAUACUGAAUGACUUCGAGUACGGGAGAGGAAAGUGGAAUUCCUGGUGUAGCGGUGAAAUGCGUAGAUAUCAGGAGGAACACCGGUGGUGUAGACGGCUUUCUGGACCGUAACUGACGCUGAGACACGAAAGCGUGGGUAGCAAACAGG